rnacentral:lncRNA from 12 species
GGUCACUUGUAACUAUCAUUCAUAGUUAUCAUCUCUAAAAUACAAACCUGUUCCAAAAUUGUUUUCCUCAACUAGAGUUUCUGAUUUAGACCUUAUCAGAAACAGUACUGGUUUGUCUGUUAACCAGAACCCUAAUUUGAGUUUUUAUGUCAUCUUCCUUGAGAAAAAUUUUAUAGAACCUCCUUUUAUAUGGGACACUAGAAUCAUCGGUGUAUCUUAGAAAGAGCAUCAAAGUGAGAGACUGAAAAUAUGGAUUGUAGCUGUGCUCCACCCCUACCUAUAUGAGUUUGAGCAACUCCUUCCAUUUUCCUGAACAUCCAUUUUCUUAUCAAUAAAAUAAUAAAUUUCCACUUAAGAAGUGACUCUUAGGGCAGCCUGGGUGGCUCAGCAGUUUAGCACCACCUUCAGCCCAAGGCCUGAUCCUGGAGUCCCAGGAUCCAGUCCCACGUGGGGCUCCCUGCAUAAGCCUGCUUCUCCCUCUGCCUGUGUCUCUGCCUGCCCCCCCUCUGUGUGUGUGUCUUUCAUGAAUAAAUAAAUAAAAUCUUAAAAAAAAAAGAAGUGACUCUUAAAUCCUUUUAUGCCAUAUAUCUCUUUGAUAAUUAUAUUAAAGUGAUAGAUAAACCUCCUCAACAGAAUAAUGUGCAGAGCUGGGUGAAGUUCUCGCACGUUUUCUUUUCCAUUUGGCUCCUUCCAAGACCAAACUAACAAUAAAAUAUUUUUCUUUUUUACAAUUUAAUCUCCGGCUAACAAGGAUAUUUGGUAUGUGAUUGCUUUUAGAUAUUUCACCCAGAGGCCAGACAUCCUGAAGUCUUCCCUUUCACACUCCUCUACGCGCAGCACCUGGAGUUACCCCACUCUCUCCAGCAGCUGAAAUGCCAAAACACACAAGGAGGCAAGAACUUUGCAGAAAACUGUGUGAGAAGGGAAAUGGAACACAAGCAACUGACUUGUGAAACAGAAACCUUGACAAGGCAUGGGCACAGCUGAGAAAGAAGACGGAUAAGCCCCAGAGAGAGAUGCCCUUG